GGCCUGCUGGCCCAAUGGCAAGGCGUUUGACUUCGAAUCAAAAGAUUACAGGUUCGACCCCUGUGCAGGUCA
rfam:Blumeria graminis f. sp. tritici 96224 unplaced genomic scaffold Scaffold-7, whole genome shotgun sequence.